GAAGAAUCUCUACAGGUAAGUGUGUGAUUUCUUCAGUGACAUCACAUUUGCCUGCAGAGAUUUCCCAGU
ensembl:miRNA Mir216c microRNA 216c